rnacentral:rRNA from 1 species
UUGUCUCAAAGAUUAAGCCAUGCAUGUCUCAGUACAAGCCGAAUUAAGGUGAAACCGCGAAAGGCUCAUUAAAUCAGUUAUGGUUCCUUAGAUCGUACCCACAUUUACUUGGAUAACUGUGGUAAUUCUAGAGCUAAUACAUGCAAACAGAGCUCCAACCGGAAACGGAAGGAGCGCUUUUAUUAGAUCAAAACCAAUCGGUGGCGGUUUCCGUCAUCGUACAACUUGGUGACUCUGAAUAACUUUAAGCUGAUCGCACGGUCUCGCACCGGCGACGCAUCUUUCAAAUGUCUGCCUUAUCAACUGUCGAUGGUAGGUUCUGCGCCUACCAUGGUUGUAACGGGUAACGGGGAAUCAGGGUUCGAUUCCGGAGAGGGAGCCUGAGAAACGGCUACCACAUCCAAGGAAGGCAGCAGGCGCGCAAAUUACCCACUCCCGGCACGGGGAGGUAGUGACGAAAAAUAACGAUACGGGACUCAUCCGAGGCCCCGUAAUCGGAAUGAGUACACUCUAAACCCUUUAACGAGGAUCAAUUGGAGGG